CUUGAUUUCAAACGCAAGAAUAAGGUGUAUAGUCCAAUAAUAUAGCAUUAACAUGAUGUUUAUUUUCGUAAUUUAGUUGGACAUUCUCAUUAGAUCGAUUUAUUGCUCUAGAAAUAUUUCUCUUUCCCAGUUUUUUGCUUAGACUGGCUUGUUCCAUUUUCACAGUAAUAGAAAAAUUCCUUUAUCAUUUUGUAUGAGUUAUAUACUGAACUUAUUUUCUUGACUAUUUGGAUCAGUUAAAACAUUUUAGUUUUCAUUAUUAGCAUAAAGCACUUUUCCCCCUAAUCAAAUUCUUGGAUGUUGUAAAUGUGCAGAUUCGUGCCUUCGUGGAUAAAUUGAUUGAGAGGCAUAUGGCAAUGAAGCCAGCUUUGAAAACUUGAUGGUCCUCGAGAUUGACUAGCUUGUGUUUUUGGGUGCACCUCUGCAGCAAUUACAGAAGUGUUACUUUUUAUUCACGCAUAAAUCCACAGUAUAAGAUGGUGGUGGCGGUGUUCUUGGAAUGGCUUCCCCAUGUAAAUACUUAAUUCAAAAUGCCAGUAUGCUGUAAAUGAUCCAGAAUGUGCCAAGGAAGGAAGGAGAUGAUUCUUAUAGCUUGUUGGAUUGUUGCGGGGCUUCUAGUGAAGAUCACUUGUCGUUUGGCCUACUGAAACAAUUAUUUGGCAUCCUUGAAAAUAUGA
rnacentral:misc_RNA from 1 species